rnacentral:rRNA from 1 species
UGGGGAAUCUUCCGCAAUGGGCGCAAGCCUGACGGAGCAACGCCGCGUGAGUGAAGAAGGGUUUCGACUCGUAAAGCUCUGUUGUCGGGGACGAAUGUCAGGACUCAAAAUAUGGGUUCUGAAUGACGGUACCUAACAAGAAAGCACCGGCUAACUACGUGCCAGCAGCCGCGGUAAAACGUAGGGUGCAAGCGUUGUCCGGAAUUACUGGGUGUAAAGGGAGCGCAGGCGGACCGGCAAGUUGGAAGUGAAAACCAUGGGCUCAACCCAUGAAUUGCUUUCAAAACUGCUGGCCUUGAGUAGUGCAGAGGUAGGCGGAAUUCCCGGUGUAGCGAUGGAAUGCGUAGAUAUCGGGAGGAACACCAGUGGCGAAGGCGGCCUACUGGGCACCAACUGACGCUGAGGCUCGAAAGUAUGGGUAGCAAACAGGAUUAGAUACCCUGGUAGU